AGAGUUUGAUCAUGGCUCAGAGCGAACGCUGGCGGCAGGCUUAACACAUGCAAGUCGAGCGCCUGUAGCAAUACAGGAGCGGCAGACGGGAGAGUAACACGUGGGAAUAUGCCCUUCGGUUCGGAAUAACUCAGGGAAACUUGAGCUAAUACCGGAUACGCCCUUACGGGGAAAGAUUUAUUGCCGAAGGAUUAGCCCGCGUCCGAUUAGCUAGUUGGUGAGGUAAUGGCUCACCAAGGCGACGAUCGGUAGCUGGUCUGAGAGGAUGAUCAGCCUCAUUGGGACUGAGACACGGCCCAAACUCCUACGGGAGGCAGCAGUGGGGAAUAUUGGACAAUGGGCGCAAGCCUGAUCCAGCCAUGCCGCGUGGGUGAUGAAGGCCCUAGGGUUGUAAAGCCCUUUCGGCGGGGAAGAUAAUGACGGUACCCGCAGAAGAAGCCCCGGCUAACUUCGUGCCAGCAGCCGCGGUAAUACGAAGGGGGCUAGCGUUGCUCGGAAUCACUGGGCGUAAAGCGCACGUAGGCGGGCAUCUAAGUCGGUGGUGAAAUCCUGGAGCUCAACUCCAGAACUGCCUUCGAUACUGGAUGUCUCGAGUCCGAGAGAGGUGAGUGGAACUGCGAGUGUAGAGGUGAAAUUCGUAGAUAUUCGCAAGAACACCAGUGGCGAAGGCGGCUCACUGGCUCGGUACUGACGCUGAGGUGCGAAAGCGUGGGGAGCAAACAGGAUUAGAUACCCUAGUAGUCC
rnacentral:rRNA from 1 species